UAAAGGUCUGAGAAUGUGAAGGCCUUGGGUUCAAUCCCCAGUACAAGGGGAAACAAAGGAAAAAGCACUCUUCUUGAGGAAAGACUUAACUUUUCGGAACCCAGGCUUUCUGGAUGCAAGACACUUUUCCAAAUGACCCUUUUUCUUUCUGCUCAGUUUUUCCUUUGACCAUUUUUCUGAGUCAUCAGGCAAGGGUUAUGUGGCAAGUUCACAAGCAGCCUCUUCCUCAGGCAGUUGUCCUGGUCACCUCUGUCCCCCAGGUAGUGGGUGCCUUGUGGAGACAUGUCAGUCAGGAGGUUGUUUGGGGUGAAGGAGAAGGGCCUGUCACUAAGCUUCACUCCCUAAGUCAGUCACGUUCCCAAAGCCAAGAUCACAUCCCAGUCAGAGCCACCGCCAUCACAGUUCUGCUUCCACCAGCCAGAGGAAGCAUCCGCUCCAUGACAGUGCUCAGCCUGUCCACCUGUACUUGGAGAAAGUGGGGCCUAAAAUAGCCAAUCCUAUAAGAGGCAGAGUUUGGUGACUCCUCACAUAUUCAUGGCCCAGUAAAUUUCAGUAUUUGCAAGUUAUCUCAGUUGUUUUGUUGCUUGGCUUUGUUUUAUUUAAGUAAGAGUUAACUGUCAGUAAGAGGCUGUGAACUGAAUGGGUGAAUUGCCUUUCUUCUAUUUAGUCCCCAUUUGUUGAGCACCUACUGUGUGCCAAACACAGAGGCUAUCAAAAGCAAAGUAAAACAGCAAAAUAUGCUGUUCCCAUGGACUCAACAUGACAAAUGACCUCACCGAGGAUCUGGAAGUACAAGCAGAGAGUCUGGAAAUGGGUAUGGUAUUUCCUUGACGUUGUCAAAUAGAGCAGCUGAGUCAGAAGCAUUUUCUGAGGGCGAGCAGGCAAAGCUGUGAUCAGAAUGCAGAAGAGGAGCUGGCGGGAGUCAGCUAGCAAGGGUGGGAUACAGAAGAGCUUUCCACCAGAGGGAAGAGCCCACAUCCAGGCCUCAUGGAGGGCGGAAACAGGGCACUUUCCCAGAGGGCAGGGCAGGGCAGGGCAGGGCAGGGCGGCUGAAGCAUGGAGAAGGCCAGCACAAGGUGAGGUGCAGAGGAUUGGUGGACAGCCAUGGAGAGCCUUUUAGGCUAUGUUAAUUUGUGUCGUGAUUGUGGGACGAAUGAAGGGCCACUGAAGACUGCAAAGCAGAGGUUACUGUGUAUGUACGCUACUAGUAUUUUGAAAGGGAGACUGGUUACUACGAGGACCUCACACAGUAGGGAUAUGAGCAAGGAGGCCAUUGUAGUCAGGUGAUGUGUGGAGCAGGAGGAAAGAUGGCCACCAGCAGAUGAGCAUUUAGACAGUGAUUACUGGAUGUGGGCACAAAGUGUCAAGGGUAAUCCCCAAAAUUCUGUAUUGCUCAGAAGGAUGGAAAUAUCCUCUACUAAGACAGGGACACUGGAAGAGGGGCAGGAAGAGGGGUUUUGUGAGGUCAGACUUUGUCUGCGUAUUAGUGGAUAGCUUUGAAGAACAGAAAGCUCUUCUGCAGUGGCCGAGACAAUUCUGGGCAUGCGCAGCUCACAUCAUAGAAGAUCAGGUUAUGUAGUUUCUGUCUCCCAGGCCAGCAAGACAGCUUAGGCUGGGUACUGGUGCUUUCAGCUUUCUGGUCUACCUGCAUGGUGUAUAGACUUACAUGUUCUUGUUUGUUUCCUUUUGACAUACGAUGGCUGCUGUGAUCCUUCCUUGCACCUGAAUUCCAGGUAGAAAGUUAGAGUUAGGACUAAGGGAGAUGUGGUGUAUCCUAACAAAUAUUUCUUUUUCUACUGGGGAGACUUGGCCUAUGUCACAUUGCUCUGAACUAAGUGCCAGACAGAGGCCUAGAAACACAGUAUUUUUGCUCCCAGCCUCCCUGUCCAGGUGGAGGAGGGCUGAGGAGAGAGGCCGUGUGUGCAGCCAGCCAGAGUCACGCGGAGUUGGAGGUGCUGUGGCAGCCAAGCAGAGAUGCCGGCUGGCAUCGUUAGAGAUAUUGACCCAGUGCUACUUUUCCUCCUCCUCCUUAGGGGCAAGAGGUAAUUUGGUGACACCUUUAAAAUAAGGCAUUUAAGAUACGCAUGCUGAGUUCUCUACUUCUCAAAGUAAGGGGAGAGCAGAAAAGCUCGGGCCAGCAAAUCUGCUCACCUGAAAGGAUGACUUCUGAAUCCUGACUACCAGCGUGUUGGAGGAGGUGAUGAAGGGAGCUUUACACAGCUCUGUGAGGCACAUCUUGAAGACAGCAGGGCAUGGCCUCCCUGACCUCAUGACGACCAGAGCAGCCUCUCUGACAGUGGGAGAACCUGGGGCACCAGCUCCUGGAAGGGUGGCGCCAUUGCACAGGGGACUGUCACUGCUAAGGUGACAAGUGAGUAGAGACUUGAGGGAGGAUGCCAGAGGAUCCUGGGGCGGCAACUGAGGCAGUGUUGGGAACAGGAGUAGAGUGCCAAGUGUUUUUCAGAGCAUUAUGAAAAUGAUACACACUUAAAACAUCAUCCCAAAUAGUCUUCAAAAAGCUUUCAUAUUCCAGCAAGCAAACAGCGAUCUCAGAAGAGGAAUAAAAGAAAAUCUAAAUACAAUGGUAAUGAAUGUCCUACGGAUAAAAACAGGUAACAGCAUGGUGAUGACAGACACACGCUUUGCAGCCUUUGGAAUUUGGCUUCCCCCAUGUGAGCAGCUCUGUGAGUUUGGGUAACUUAACCUCUCUAGGCCUCAAGUGGGGAGUCAGAUAGUACCUACUCCCUAGGGUUGUUUCAUGGACUGAAGUAUCAGUAAUGAGUUAUGAGAAAUAUGGAGUAACGUGUAAAAAGGGGGCCUGUAAAAUGUGCUCCAUUAGCCAUUACUGGAGGGAGCUAUUUACUCCUCACAGGUACCACUACUGUUAUUGGAAGGAAGGUGAGUGAUAACACAGACCAGAAGAUGUUGGAAGCCAGAAGAGGAAGAUUUGAAGGUUGUGAAGGAAAGGACGAGUGAAGGGCUGGGGAGAUUUUACGUAGUUAGCUGGACCUUUUAAAAAAUAAAUAAUGCUAAAUGUUCAUGAUAGGUUUGA